AAGGGUAUGGCUCAAUUGUAGAGUGCCUGCUUAGCAUGCACAAGGUCCUGAGUUCAAUCCCCAGUAAUUUCA
rnacentral:tRNA from 1 species